rnacentral:rRNA from 1 species
UACGAAGGGAGCUAGCGUUGUUCGGAAUUACUGGGCGUAAAGGGCGCGUAGGCGGCUCUGUAAGUCAGAUGUGAAAGCCCUAGGCUUAACCUAGGAACGGCAUUUGAUACUGCAGAGCUAGAGAUCGAGAGAGGAAAGUGGAAUUACGAGUGUAGAAGUGAAAUUCGUAGAUAUUCGUAGGAACACCAGUGGCGAAGGCGACUUUCUGGCUCGAUACUGACGCUAAAGCGCGAAAGCAUGGGGAGCAAACAGG